AGUGAACGCUGGCGGUAGGCCUAACACAUGCAAGUCGAACGGCAGCACAGUAAGAGCUUGCUCUUACGGGUGGCGAGUGGCGGACGGGUGAGGAAUACAUCGGAAUCUACUUUUUCGUGGGGGAUAACGUAGGGAAACUUACGCUAAUACCGCAUACGACCUACGGGUGAAAGCAGGGGAUCUUCGGACCUUGCGCGAUUGAAUGAGCCGAUGUCGGAUUAGCUAGUUGGCGGGGUAAAGGCCCACCAAGGCGACGAUCCGUAGCUGGUCUGAGAGGAUGAUCGGCCACCCUGGAACUGAGACACGGUCCAGACUCCUACGGGAGGCAGCAGUGGGGAAUAUUGGACAAUGGGCGCAAGCCUGAUCCAGCCAUACCGCGUGGGUGAAGAAGGCGUUCGGGUUGUAAAGCCCUUUUGUUGGGAAAGAAAAGCAGCAGGUUAGUACGACGCUGUUCUGACGGUACCCAAAGAAUAAGCACCGGCUAACUUCGUG
rnacentral:rRNA from 1 species